GGAAGAGUAGCUCAGUUGGUAGAGCGCACCCCUGAUAAGGGUGAGGUCGGCAGUUCAAACCUGUCCUUUUCCACCA
rnacentral:tRNA from 1 species